rnacentral:rRNA from 1 species
UACGGAAGGCAGCAGUGGGGAAUAUUGCACAAUGGGCGCAAGCCUGAUGCAGCCAUGCCGCGUGUAUGAAGAAGGCCUUCGGGUUGUAAAGUACUUUCAGUCGUGAGGAAGGUGUUAAGGUUAAUAACCUUAGCAAUUGACGUUAGCGACAGAAGAAGCACCGGCUAACUCCGUGCCAGCAGCCGCGGUAAUACGGAGGGUGCGAGCGUUAAUCGGAAUUACUGGGCGUAAAGGGCACGCAGGCGGUUAAUUAAGUUGGAUGUGAAAUCCCCGGGCUUAACCUGGGAAUGGCAUUCAAGACUGGUUAGCUAGAGUCUUGUAGAGGGGGUAGAAUUCCAUGUGUAGCGGUGAAAUGCGUAGAGAUGUGGAGGAAUACCGGUGGCGAAGGCGGCCCCUGGGACAAAGGACUGACGCUCAUGUGCGAAAGCGUGGGGAGCAAAACGAGGGAUUAGAU